CUCGCCGCCGAGCCGGACGCUCGGGACGAGACGACAUGUGGCCCUCGCGGCUGAAUCGCAAC
rnacentral:ncRNA from 1 species